rnacentral:rRNA from 1 species
AAUCAACGCUGGCGGCGUGCCUAACACAUGCAAGUCGAACGCGAAAGGGGCUUCGGCCCUGAGUAGAGUGGCGAACGGGUGAGUAACACGUGGGUGACCUACCUUCGAGUGGGGGAUAACGUCCCGAAAGGGACGCUAACACCGCAUAACAUCCUGCCUUUGAACAGGUGGAGAUCAAAGCUGGGGAUCGCAAGACCCGGCGCUUGAAGAGGGGCCCGCGUCCGAUUAGCUAGUUGGUGAGGUAAUGGCUCACCAAGGCGACGAUCGGUAACCGGCCUGAGAGGGCGGACGGUCACACUGGGACUGAGACACGGCCCAGACUCCUACGGGAGGCAGCAGUGGGGAAUUGUUCACAAUGGGCGCAAGCCUGAUGACGCAACGCCGCGUGGAGGAUGAAGGUCUUCGGAUUGUAAACUCCUGUUGCUCGGGACGAAAAGCUUCGACCUAAUACGUCGAAGUCUGACGGUACCGGGUGAGGAAGCCCCGGCUAACUCUGUGCCAGCCGCCGCA